CCUACGGGAGGCAGCAGUAGGGAAUAUUGCUCAAUGGGGGAAACCCUGAAGCAGCAACGCCGCGUGGAGGAUGAAGGUUUUCGGAUGGUAAACUCCUUGUGUUAGAGAAGAGAAUGACGGUAUCUAACGAAUAAGCACCGGCUAACUCCGUGCCAGCAGCCGCGGUAAUACGGAGGGUGCAAGCGUUACUCGGAAUCACUGGGCGUAAAGAGCGCGUAGGCGGGAUAGCAAGUAAGAUGUGAAAUCCUAUGGCUUAACCAUAGAACGGCAUUUGAAACUGUUAUUCUAGAGUAUGGGAGAGCUCGGUGUAAUUCUUGGUGUAGGGGUCCAAUCCUUAGCGAUC
rnacentral:rRNA from 1 species